rnacentral:rRNA from 1 species
UACAGAGGGUGCAAGCGUUGUUCGGAAUCAUUGGGCGUAAAGGGCGUGUAGGCGGUUUGUUAAGUCAUGUGUGAAAUCCCUCGGCUCAACCGGGGAACGACGCAUGAAACUGGCAAGCUAGAGUACCAAAGAGGGCGGUGGAAUUCCCAGUGUAGCGGUGAAAUGCGUAGAUAUUGGGAGGAACACCAGUGGCGAAGGCGGCUCGCUGGACCGGUUCUGACGCUGAGGCGCGAAAGCGUGGGGAGCAAACGGG